rnacentral:rRNA from 1 species
GACGAACGCUGGCGGCGUGCCUAAUACAUGCAAGUCGAGCGGACUGGAGGGAGCUUGCUCCCAAAGGUCAGCGGCGGACGGGUGAGUAACACGUGGGUAACCUGCCUGACAGACUGGGAUAACGCUUGGAAACGAGUGCUAAUACCAGAUAGGCUCUUUGACCGCAUGGUCGUAGAGGGAAAGAAGCUAUCGCUUCACUGUCAGAUGGACCCGCGGCGCAUUAGCUAGUUGGUGAGGUAACGGCUCACCAAGGCGACGAUGCGUAGCCGACCUGAGAGGGUGAUCGGCCACACUGGGACGGGGACACGGCCCAGACUCCUACGGGAGGCAGCAGUAGGGAAUCUUCCAAAAUGGACGAAAGUCUGAUGGAGCAACGCCGCGUGAGCGAUGAAGGCCUUCGGGUCGUAAAGCUCUGUUGUUAGGGAAGAACAAGUACCGGAGUAACUGCCGGUACCUUGACGGUACCUAACCAGAAAGCCACGGCUAACUACGUGCCAGCCGCCGCCGUAAAAC